rnacentral:rRNA from 1 species
AGAUUGAACGCUGGCGGCAGGCCUAACACAUGCAAGUCGAGCGGUAGAGAGGUGCUUGCACCUCUUGAGAGCGGCGGACGGGUGAGUAGUGCCUAGGAAUCUGCCUAGUGGUGGGGGAUAACGUUCGGAAACGGACGCUAAUACCGCAUACGUCCUACGGGAGAAAGCGGGGGACCUUCGGGCCUCGCGCCAUUAGAUGAGCCUAGGUCGGAUUAGCUAGUUGGUGAGGUAAUGGCU